rnacentral:lncRNA from 1 species
UUAUAAUUAUUAAAGUAAAAAAUUAAAGGAUCAUUUUGUAAAUAAAAAAAAUAUGCUUCUAUUAUAGAGGAAUGCUAUUUCUUCCUCUAAAUAUAGAGGUGAAAAUAACACUUUCUAUUUUAGAGAAAAAAAUAUAGUAGGGUUAGAGUGAUUUUAUCUCUAAAUGUUAUUAUAGAAGCAAAUAUAGAGAUGGGUUAGAGAUGCUCUAAGCUCCUCUCUUCCUUAGUUUGGUUCCUUGUCUUUGAAAUGAUUUUAUCCCGCUGCAAAAUCCUCCUUCGCUUCUCUUCGACGUCAAUUGAUUGAACUCUUGCUAUUUCAGAUGUUAAUAAAGUGAUCACUUAGUCGAUACAAAAGAAGAUCUUUUGUUGGACCGCUAUGAGGCGCCAAACUCAGCUAAAUAUCCUAUGAGAAAAAUGGAUUUGAUCUAUCACCAUCGUCAUCCUUCCCUUCGGAAAGCUUCGCCUUGUUACCCACUUUUCCAGGGAACCUUCAAACAGGUGAAGCUGAUAUCCUAAAGAAAAGAAUUAGAGCAUAUCCUUAAUAGAAAGAUAAUCAAGCAUUGACAGUUUGGGAUAAAAUUUAAACAUUCGAAAGAGGUACAAGGAAAAACAAAACAAAAAGAUCGCCACCGCAAAGAUUAUAAUCCGCUAGACGGAACUUCUAAUCGAUCCAUAGAUCGAAGUUUAUAUAUAUUAGAAACAAAUGAGACACAAUCAGUUCUCUCCUUUUGAAAGAUAUUUGUUUGAUAAGAAGGUAAAAAUCGAGAUGAUUCUCCCUUCUAAUCGUGUUUCUAUGUGUCAAAUAAUCAUUGUCUUAGAUUUUUAAUAUAAAAUUAUACGUAAUUUGUAAUCGCGAGUCAAAAUGAAUGAAAAU